UACGUAGGGUGCAAGCGUUAAUCGGAAUUACUGGGCGUAAAGCGUGCGCAGGCGGUUUUGUAAGCCAGAUGUGAAAUCCCCGGGCUUAACCUGGGAAUGGCAUUUGGGACUGCAAGGCUUGAGUUUGGCAGAGGAGACUGGAAUUCCUGGUGUAGCAGUGAAAUGCGUAGAUAUCAGGAGGAAUACCGAUGGCGAAGGCAGGUCUCUGGGCUAGAACUGACGCUCAUGCACGAAAGGCGUGGGGAGCAAACGAGGAUUACGAA
rnacentral:rRNA from 1 species